rnacentral:rRNA from 1 species
UACAGGGGGAGCGAACGUUACUCGGAAUCACUGGGCAUAAAGGGCGCGUAGGCGGUCCUGUAAGUCGGAUGUGAAAGACCUUGGCUCAACCAAGGAACGGCAUCCGAUACUGCGGGGCUUGAGGCCGAGAGGGGCAAGCGGAACUCCUGGUGGAGCGGUGAAAUGCGUAGAUAUCAGGAGGAACACCGGUGGCGAAGGCGGCUUGCUGGAUCGGUUCUGACGCUGAGGCGCGAAAGCCAGGGGAGCAAACGGGAUUAGAUACCCCGGUAGUCCUGGCCGUAAACGAUGGGCACUAGGUAGUGGGGGCUGUCUAUGGUCUUCGCUGCCGUAGCUAAUGUGUUAAGUGCCCCGCCUGGGGAGUAUGCUCGCAAGGGUAAA